UACGGGAGGCAGCAGUGGGGAAUAUUGCACAAUGGGCGCAAGCCUGAUGCAGCCAUGCCGCGUGUAUGAAGAAGGCCUUCGGGUUGUAAAGUACUUUCAGUCGUGAGGAAGGUGUUAAGGUUAAUAACCUUAGCAAUUGAUGUUAGCGACAGAAGAAGCACCGGCUAACUCCGUGCCAGCAGCCGCGGUAAUACGGAGGGUGCGAGCGUUAAUCGGAAUUACUGGGCGUAAAGGGCACGCAGGCGGUUAAUUAAGUUGGAUGUGAAAUCCCCGGGCUUAACCUGGGAAUGGCAUUCAAGACUGGUUAGCUAGAGUCUUGUAGAGGGGGUAGAAUUCCAUGUGUAGCGGUGAAAUGCGUAGAGAUGUGGAGGAAUACCGGGUGGCGAAGGCGGCCCCUGGGACAAAGACUGACGCUCAUGUGCGAAAGCGUGGGGAGCAAACAGGGAUUAGAUACC
rnacentral:rRNA from 1 species